UGUAGAGAUGAUGUCAUCAGGAGGGGCGGAGUCAGGUCUUCACAUCGACUUCACAGGUCUGGGACUCGGCCGUGACGUCACAGUUACAGAGUCGCCCCCCGCA